CGCUGAACUUAAGCAUAUCAAUAAGCGGAAGGAAAAGAAACCAACAGGGAUUGCCUCAGUAACGGCGAGUGAAGCGGCAACAGCUCAAAUUUGAAAUCUGGCCGCAAGGUCCGAGUUGUAAUUUGUAGAGGAUGCUUUUGGCAAGGUGCCUUCCGAGUUCCCUGGAACGGGACGCCAUAGAGGGUGAGAGCCCCGUACGGUAGGACCACCAAGCCUCUGUAAAGCUCCUUCGACGAGUCGAGUAGUUUGGGAAUGCUGCUCUAAAUGGGAGGUGUACGUCUUCUAAAGCUAAAUACCGGCCAGAGACCGAUAGCGCACAAGUAGAGUGAUCGAAAGAUGAAAAGCACUUUGAAAAGAGGGUUAAAAAGUACGUGAAAUUGUUGAAAGGGAAGCAUUUAUGACCAGACUUGGGCUUGGUUGAACAUCCGGCGUUCUCGCCGGUGCACUCUGCCAGUCCAGGCCAGCAUCAGUUUGCCCCGGGGGAUAAAGGCGGCGGGAAUGUAUCUCUCUCCGGGGAGUGUUAUAGCCCGUCGUGUAAUGCCCUGGGGCGGACUGAGGAACGCGCUUCGGCACGGAUGCUGGCGUAAUGGUCAUCAAUGACCCGUCUUGAAACACGGACCAAGGAGUCGUCUUCGUAUGCGAGUGUUCGGGUGUCAAACCCCUACGCGUAAUGAAAGUGAACGUAGGUGAGAGCUUCGGCGCAUCACCGACCGAUCCUGAUGUUCUCGGAUGGAUUUGAGUAAGAGCAUACGGGGCCGGACCCGAAAGAAGGUGAACUAUGCCUGUAUAGGGUGAAGCCAGAGGAAACUCUGGUGGAGGCUCGCAGCGGUUCUGACGUGCAAAUCGAUCGUCAAAUAUGGGCAUGGGGGCGAAAGACUAAUCGAACCUUCUAGUAGCUGGUUUCCGCCGAAGUUUCCCUCAGGAUAGCAGUGUUGAACUCAGUUUUAUGAGGUAAAGCGAAUGAUUAGGGACUCGGGGGCGCUAUAUUGCCUUCAUCCAUUCUCAAACUUUAAAUAUGUAAGAAGCUCUUGUUACUUAAUUGAACGUGGGCA
rnacentral:rRNA from 1 species